UACGGGGGGAGCAAGCGUUGUUCGGAUUUACUGGGCGUAAAGGGCGCGUAGGCGGUCAGCACAAGUCAGUUGUGAAAUCUCCGGGCUUAACCCGGAAAGGUCAACUGAUACUGUGCGACUAGAGUGCGGAAGGGGCAACUGGAAUUCUCGGUGUAGCGGUGAAAUGCGUAGAUAUCGAGGGGAACACCUGCGGCGAAGGCGGGUUGCUGGGCCGACACUGACGCUGAUGCGCGAAAGCCAGGGGAGCGAACGGG
rnacentral:rRNA from 1 species